GGCCCCGUCGUCUAACGGUUAGGAUAUCAGGUUCUCAUCCUGAAGACUGAGGGUUCGAAUCCCUCCGGGGUCA
rnacentral:tRNA from 1 species